rnacentral:rRNA from 1 species
UACAGAGGUCUCAAGCGUUGUUCGGAUUCAUUGGGCGUAAAGGGUGCGUAGGUGGCGGGGCAAGUCUGGUGUGAAAUCCCUCGGCUUAACCGGGGAACUGCGUCUGAUACUGGAUGGCUUGAGUUUGGGAGAGGGAUGCGGAAUUCCAGGUGUAGCGGUGAAAUGCGUAGAUAUCUGGAGGAACACCGGUGGCGAAGGCGGCAUCCUGGACCAACACUGACGCUGAGUGAGCGAAAGCCAGGGGAGCAAACGGG